GGGGUAUUAGCUCAGUUGGUUCAGAGCGCAUGUUUCACAGACAUGAGGUCGCAGGUUCAACCCCUGCAUACCCCA
rnacentral:tRNA from 1 species